rnacentral:rRNA from 1 species
AUUGAACGCUGGCGGCAUGCUUUACACAUGCAAGUCGAACGGCAGCGCGGGCUUCGGCCUGGCGGCGAGUGGCGAACGGGUGAGUAAUGCAUCGGAACGUGCCCAGUAGUGGGGGAUAGCACGGCGAAAGCCGGAUUAAUACCGCAUACGACCUGAGGGUGAAAGCGGGGGACCGAAAGGCCUCGCGCUAUUGGAGCGGCCGAUGUCGCAUUAGCUAGUUGGUGGGGUAAAGGCUUACCAAGGCGACGAUCCGUAGCUGGUCUGAGAGGACGACCAGCCACACUGGAACUGAGACACGGCCCAGACUCCUACGGGAGGCAGCAGUGGGGAAUUUUGGACAAUGGGGGCAACCCUGAUCCAGCCAUGCCGCGUGCGAGAAGAAGGCCUUCGGGUUGUAAACCGCUUUUGUUCGGGAAGAAAACCUCUGGGCUAAUACCCCGGGGGGAUGACGGUACCGGAAGAAUAAGCACCGGCUAACUACGUG